GGGGAGUGACGUCAAAUCAUCAUGCCCCUUACUGACCUGGGCUACACACGUGCUACAAUGGGCGGUACAAAGGGCUGCGAACCCGCGAGGGGGAGCGAAUCCCAAAAAGCCGCUCUCAGUUCGGAUUGCAGGCUGCAACUCGCCUGCAUGAAGCCGGAAUCGCUAGUAAUCGCGGAUCAGCAUGCCGCGGUGAAUACGUUCCCGGGCCUU
rnacentral:rRNA from 1 species